UUGCAGUGAUGACUUUCUUAGGACACCUUUGGACUAAUCAUGAAAGUACUUCAUUUUCUGAGCUUC